rnacentral:rRNA from 1 species
UUCGCAAUGCCCGAAAGGGUGACGAAGCGACGCCGCGUGUGGGAAGAAGGCCUUCGGGUUGUAAACCACUGUCGGGAGUUAGGAAAUGUAAGGGUGCUAAUAGUAUCCUUACUUGACUAAGGCUCCGGAGGAAGCCACGGCUAACUCUGUGCCAGCAGCCGCGGCAAUACAGAGGCGGCAAGCGUUGUUCGGAAUUAUUGGGCGUAAAGAGCACGUAGGCGGCCUUGUAAGUCAGUUGUGAAAGCCUUCUGCUUAACGGAAGAACAGCAGCUGAUACUGCAAGGCUAGAGUGCGGAAGGGGAGAGUGGAACUUCUGGUGGAGCGGUGAAAUGCGUAGAUAUCAGAAGGAACACCGGCGGCGAAGGCGACUCUCUGGUCCGUAACUGACGCUGAGUGUGCGAAAGCUAGGGGAGCAAACGGGAUUAGAUACCCCGGUAGUCCUAGCCGUAAAC